rnacentral:tRNA from 1 species
GCGCCAGUAGCUCAAUAGGAUAGAGCGUUGGCCUCCGGAGCCAAAGGUUGGGGGUUCGAUUCCCUCCUGGCGUA